rnacentral:rRNA from 1 species
AUUGAACGCUGGCGGCAGGCCUAACACAUGCAAGUCGAGCGAGCGGCGGACGGGUGAGUAAUGUAUGGGGACUGCCUGAUAGAGGGGGAUAACUACUGGAAACGGUGGCUACUACCGCUUACUAUCGGAUAACCCAUAUUGGAUUAGCUAGUAGGUGGGGUAAAGGCUCACCUAGGCGACGAUCUAUAGCUGGGCUGAGAGGAUGAUCAGCCACACUGGGACUGAGACACGGCCCAGACUCCUACGGAGGCAGCAGUGGGGAAUAUUGCGCAAUGGGCGCAAGUCUGAUGCAGCAAUGCCGCGUGUAUGAAGAAGGCCGUAGGGUUGUAAAGUUCUGUCAGCGGGGAGGCGUUACCCGCAGAAGAAGCACCGGCUAACUCCGUGCCAGCAGCCGCGGUAAUUC